rnacentral:rRNA from 1 species
GACGAACGCUGGCGGCGUGCUUAACACAUGCAAGUCGUACGGUAAGGCCCUUUCGGGGGUACACGAGUGGCGAACGGGUGAGUAACACGUGAGUAACCUGCCCACAACUUUGGGAUAACGCUAGGAAACUGGUGCUAAUACUGGAUAUGUGCUCCUGCUGCAUGGUGGGGGUUGGAAAGCUCCGGCGGUUGUGGAUGGACUCGCGGCCUAUCAGCUUGUUGGUGGGGUAGUGGCCUACCAAGGCGGCGACGGGUAGCCGGCCUGAGAGGGUGACCGGCCACAUUGGGACUGCGAUACGGCCCAGACUCCUACGGGAGGCAGCAGUGGGGAAUAUUGCACAAUGGGCGCAAGCCUGAUGCAGCAACGCCGCGUGCGGGAUGACGGCCUUCGGGUUGUAAACCGCUUUCAGCAGGGACGAAGCUUUUUGUGACGGUACCUGCAGAAGAAGCACCGGCUAACUACGUG